ensembl:lncRNA
GGGCGAGCCCUGAGACGCGGACAGUGACGGGCGAGGAGGAGGCGUCACCAACGGUGAGGGGGCGGGACGUGAGCGGCAGGAAGGAGGCGGGACUCGAGGAGGAAGUGGACCGGUUGCGUCUGAAGGUACAUCCUUGGCAGGACGACUCUGACAGCCAAUCGGCGGUGAGCAUCUACUGUGAUGUCAGCGGGGGUUGCCGUGGUUACCGGAGGACUUCCGUGUGCAUUCUGAGCCCCGACGGUGGACUGUACACCUGCGACACCGACUACGACAGCAGCAGCACAGAAAGCUGUGCUGAACAGAGCGACUCCCCUGAGCUCAGCAGCAGCAACACCGACGACGACUUUUUCCCCCAGCAGCCCGCUAUGACCCGUCUGGACCGCCCCGCACACCGCCCUGACCACCGGACUGAAUGGACGGGGGAAGCCCAAGCCAGGGAUGCCUUCAGCAAAACCCCAGGGAUCAGAGGAGAAAGAGAGAGCAGAGACAGCGGCUAUUUCUCCAUGGGAAGAGCUGCCGGGUCCCGCUCGCUGCAUGACCAGAAUCCACCGGCUCCGUUCCGCCAUUUUGAGAGAGGACACCCGG